AUACUUACCUGGCAGAGGCGAUACCACGGGUUUCCCAGGACAAGGUUUAUUCUUUGCGCUCAGACGUGCUGACCUCGGUGACUUCCCCAAACCCAGGAAAACUCAACUGUAUAAUUUGUGGCAGUCGGGGACUGUGUUCACAUUCUCCCCUG
rnacentral:snRNA from 1 species